GGAGCUGCGUGUGAGGGGAGGCUUUGGUGUUAAGCCACAGUGUUCUUUUCUAAGAUAAUAAAACACUUCCUUCUCACAGCAUCAGGUUUGGGAUUCCCGGGGGCAGGCAUGGGCGUCUGGCAGGUUCCCCUCAGGCUAGAGCAGCCUUCCUUGCAUGGUCUGCCUCUCCGGGGCCUGUGGGAGACGCCAGUCGGCGCCCUCUUGUGACCUCUGUGUGCUUCUCCCCAGAGGGCCUGAAGGUGCAGGAGAACGAGGACAACCUUGCUCUCAUCCACGCCGCCCGCGACACACUCAAGCUCAUCCGGAACAAGUUCCUGCCGGCUGUGUGCUCGUGGAUCCAGGUGUGCCAGGGACCCCCCGGGCCAGUGGACCUGGCAUGUGCCUCCCAGCAGGACAGCUUCCCAGGUCCUGCCCGGCCGGCCCCUGAGCUGUUCGCACCCCCGUUUCGCAGCGCUUCACCCGCGUCGGGACCCACGGUGGAUGUUUAAAGCGUGCCAUUGACCUGAAGGCUGAAUUGGAGCUCGUACUGAGAAAAUACAAGGAGCUGGA
rnacentral:lncRNA from 1 species